rnacentral:lncRNA from 1 species
GAGGGCCCAUUAUUAUGCUUGCAAAAUUAGAGUGAGGGUGAAAGCUAGGUUCUUCAUUUUUUAGGUUAGGAAUUAGGGAAGAGAGUUCCCUGCUUCUGCAUUGUGCCGCCAGCCUCCAGGUCCUGGAUGAAGGGUUCUGCUCCGGCGAGGUGGUAACACAACUUGGACGACGGCAAUGACGGAAGGAGUAGAGCCACUCACGGCGAACUCGGGUUAACCCGGCUGCGAGGAAAUGCGCCGCGCCUGGGAUGCGCUUUAGCAGUGGUGGUGGUACUAUUCAUGACAUUGGCGGCGAUAGGAGCACACAUUUUCGUCCGAAUACGACUUGGCAGCAGAAAUGGAGUCUCCGUAGUUCCAACAGCGAGGUGAGGAGGAUGAAUCCUUGGACCACUUCUUUUUCUUCUUCUUCUUCUUCGGUCAUCAUGCCAGAGGGGUUUCUUGCACCCUAUAGUAACGCGGUGGUUGCUGAAACUAGUUGGGGAUUCAACCACCCCUUUACUAGGCGGGACCGAAUGGGUUAUGAACCCAUUACCGGAUUCCAUUGACGGAGGUCUUACCGGAGGUAUGAGAACUGAUCUUGGAGGGGUAUUUCGGUGGCUUAAACUUCCCCUGGAUAAGUUGUUAAUGAUUCUGUUUGAGGGGUUUAAGAUGGUAGUCAUUUUUUGUUUAUUCAUUCAUUAGAGGGAAGAUAAGUGUUUAUGAAUUUCCAAUGUUUAUAACUUGUAUGGAAGUGCAGGUUUUUUAUGUUUUUUAUGAAUGUUAUUGACACAUAAAUUAUGACAUUGUAUGAGAAUUUUUUAUGGAUGCAAUAAAUCUCAAAUGAAUUCCUACUAAACAUACUGGAUGUGAAUAACCAUUAUACGAAUACAAAUAAACACAUGAUACUUUGAAUGUUUAGAUGUGAAAAAAUAUAGAGAUGUGGAUGAUUGCUGGAAAAAUAAUGUUUGAAUGCACAAACAUACAAAUAUAUUACUAUAUAGGUAGUAAGAUACCAACCUUUCAAAAAGACUAAUGUAUUACUUUCCCCUUUUAUGCUCUUCUUGCCAAUAAUCUAUUUUUCUUGGUUUCUCCAGAUUCCUACUUUUCCAGUGUUGUGUCCUUUUUUCUUUUAUCACUCCCUUUUUAAUUGCCUUCUCGUACCUGUUAUUUUCUUUGCUUUUACGUGUUGUUCCCCCCUCUGUUGGAAUCUGAUUAAUCUACUUAAAGGCUAGGGUCAUGAACCUUUUUUCCUAAAAUCUGGGUAACUGCCCUCUAUUUUCACUAGUGGUUCCCCAAUUUCAGGGAACACUUUCAAAUUGAAAUCAAUUUAUUGUUUCAUUAUGUCUAUUUUAUUAUUCCCAACUAACUACUUAUAUAUAUUCUUUGUAAUUAAAAUUAGCUAAUGAGUAUUUACAAUAGUGAUGAGUUGAUGAUUAAAUUUGAAAGGCCCAAGUUCCAGCCCAUGAGGUUAUUUAAAACAAUGCUUAAUAUGGCAAGCCUAUCUAACACAGUAAUGCAAUAUUCCACAAAAUAAUUCUUAGGCUAAUACAUGUUAGAGCUUAUUUCUACUGAAUAUUGAACAAUGGAUAGAACAAAUGUAAUUUUAGGGGUUUUUAUGGUUCCGACAAAAAUAAAUGUUCACAUUAACUAAUAUAAAAUUUUAGAAUUACUAGUAAAUACAAUAAUAUAUAAAAAGGAAAUGGAGAUUUAUCUAGAACUAUCCUACUGGAUGGUAAAUGUUUUGUUGAAUGCUUAAAGCUAAAUAUUUAAAAUCUUUUUUAGUAUGGUCUACACAUUCAAAGGACUAAGCUCGUCUAAUGAGUCAUCACAUCCAAAGAAUUAAGAUCGUCAACCGACCAAGUGCAUUGAAGGGCCAAUUGUGUCUAGUGAUACUCACUUUGGGGAAUGUGAAUAUAAUAUUUAAAAGACAAAAGAUGAUGAAUAUAACUAAGUUAAAAAUAUUACAAUAUAGUAUAAUUUACUAUCACAAAUAUAUUAGUACAUACAUACGGUUAGCAAGAAAGUUUAAUAAAUUAAUGAGUAACAAAAUUGUCUCUCUUGGUAUAAUAGAAUUGUUAUUCUUUUUAGUAACAUCUAAAUAGAAAAAAAACAAAGCUACUAAUCAACAACCUGAAUUUAUAGUCUUUUUACUAUUUAUAAAUCAUAUUUUAUUAAGUUUUUCCCCUAAAUAUAAUUAUCCUUAUAAUAUCUAUGAAAUAUUAAAUGAUUCAUGUUAAAUAUACUUUUAAUAUUUUCAUUUUUUAUUUAUAACUUCCUUAAUAUUUCAAUAAACCUUUCAUUUUCUCCAUAAAUGAAUGAAGGAGUAAGUUUCCAAUUUUCGCAUAUUUUUUGUCAAUUUGAUAAUAAUAAUUAUUUUUACCUACUUUUUAAUCCGUGUGAAUUCGAUAAAAUAACUCAUAAUUAGAGACAAAAAGUACACGAAAAAGUAUAUAUUGGCUGACUAGUCAUAGUUUCUUAUAUUUAGAUUUCAUUUUUCAUGAGAUAUAAUUUCCUUACAUGCUCUUAGUUAAUUCAUUUUUUUUAUUUCAGUGUGUUUUCCAUACCGUAGAGUAUUCCUAUAACGUGAUUUUUGUUGUGCAUGUGUGUUGGUUUAGGUAGGCUUUAGGAAAAAUAGAAUGAAAUCAAAUAAAAUUAGUUAGGUUGGAUUCUGGUUGUCUUUGCUAAAUGUAAUUUUGAUAUUUAUAGUCUAACCUAACCAAUUGUCCAUGAACUAUCCCAUUGUCCCAGGAGAUGGCACAUGCCAUAUAAAUUAUAUAACGUGAGUCUUAACCUCCCUGUUAAACCCUUUAAAUAAUUUAUUGAAAACAAUUUUGACUUUUAUUAUCUAAUUAUUAUAUUAUCAUUAUUUAAAAUUAUAAUAAAAAAUGAAAGUAAAAUAUUUAUUAAACUAUUAUAAAAAUAAUAGUAAAUAGAAUAAUGUAUAAAAGGGAAAGAAGAUUUACCUAGAAUUGUGCAACAAGAGGACAAAUAAUUUCAUGAAUGUGUAGAGCUAAAUAUUUUAAAAAACCUUUUGUAGUAAAGUCUACAUACUCAAAGGUCUAAGCGUAUCUAAUAAGUCAACUUGUCCAAAUAACCAAGCUAGUUCAAGGGCCAAGCUCGUCUAAGGUCCCAUUGUGUCUAGUUAUUCAUAAGUGCCAAAUUUACCAUAUUUUUUAAUAAAUUUUAGUGCACCUAUCUUUGUGAUUCAUGAUAAAUAUCUUACAUAUUUACACCUUUUGACUAGAAAAUGUAUGAAUAUGAAUUUUAAUUUAAGAAAGUAUUUAAUGUACGAUUCCAAUCUAACUAUGGAUUUUAAGGUUGAAUAAUUCAAGGAAAAUGAUGAUUUAUGGUGAAUAUGAGCUUAAAGAACGACAAACCGCUCUUCCCAUUUCAAGAAUGAAGAUCUAGAGCUUGAUGCCCAAAUCAAGUUUGGUGCCAAAAAAAGUGGGUUAGACGAUAAGAAGUAUAUUGGACACCUCACUCCCUAAUUUGGGAGAUGGUAGAGGCUUAAGUAAUUAUCGGGAGAACUUUUCAACCUGUAUAGAAAGGAAAGAGAUAAUAUUGAUUGUGGAUGUUCUUCCAAUUCUGAAUUUAGUUUAACAUAGAGUUAGUAAUAUUAAUUUUUCAUCAAAAGAAUUAUGUAAUUGAUUGAAAGGGAACUAAUAGAAAAAAUUUAACAUUAAUUGUGGAACGCCUUCCUACUUCAAGAGAUGGUAGAGACGGUGCUAUUCAUCAUACCCGCUUCUGGCCUUAGAGCUGGAAUUAAGAUAUGACACAACAUGUGAUAUUACUAUUAAAUUCCCAAAUAAAUUUUAUUAAUUACAUAUGUAAAAUAAUUCAGUUUAAUAUUUAAUAAAUAAAUUAUUUUUAGUUAUUUACGGUGAAUUAAUUACAAAGUGAUAACAUUUAUCGUGAACCAUCUUCUCACUUCGAGAGAUAAUAGCAGCAGUACAAAUGAACACAAUCGCUUCUCAAAUUGGAGUAGAAAGUAAAAUAUGACACAAAUCAUGACCUUGCUAUCAAAUUCCCAAUUAAGUUUUAGUCUAAAAUAAAAGAGACAACAUUGAUUGUGAAAUGUACCCUUGUCCCAAGAGAUGACAAAUGCAAUAGAAAUGACAAGAAGAGCUUACCAACUUCGGUCA